ACCAAGAUGAGCCCCGGAAGUGCGGCCCGCCCCUCACAGCCUCCGGUCCCUUCCGUGGCACGUUGCUCCCUGUUCUCAAACCUGGCCUCCUCGCGGCGGGGGAAAGCAAUUACAGAAGCCCGUUGGCUGGCGCUGUGGUCGAUCCUCAGCACAACGGGCGGCGGCCCCCGAGAGCCAUUUUUCAGCCCGCGGAGCCGUGCCCCUCAGGGUCGUCUGCCGGCAGAGCCAGAACUUGACCUUUCGCGAGCGCAGCCCGCCCACUCCCGAGCCAGACCCUCCGGAAGGCUCUUUUUCCUCAGCGUGUGUGCGGUUAUUAUUGAUGAUGAUGAUGAUGAUGAUGUUGGCCUUGCGUGAGAAGUAAAAGCUAUCUCCUAACACCAACGUGAAGGGGGUUAGGACGCAGGGGGCGCGCGGCGCUUCCCCGAGCGUGGCUUCCCCGCCGAUUGUCUGACCCGCGAGGCGCAGGCGGCCCGGAGCGAGCCCCGCGUUCUCAGAAUGCGGGGACGCGGGCCGCGGUGGGCGCGGUGCGGGCUCCCGGACCUCGGCUUUUCCGUCCCGCAAGUGAAGGCGCCCCCUAAGGACCCAGAGCCGCCUACCUUAUAAAUCGAGAACCUGUCCACGCGGGGAACUCUAUCCUUGGGGGUCAGCGUGGCCUCGUUUUGGGACACAGGUGUUUGCUGACCUCACUCUGGACGGCUGCUCUGGGAGGACUUCGCCCAGCGUCAAGGUGAAGCAGCGCUCUCCCUCUCCUGCCCGGAAGCUGGAAGACACAGAGGCCUCCUUUGUCUCUCACCCACUGUUCCCACGGUCAAGGCAGGGAGGAGAGCUCCACGAACCUCUGACCUGCUGACCCGAGGACUUUCCCAGCCCCUGUUGCUGGGUUAAAGUCCAGUAACGGAUCUAGCAAGAGCCCCCAUGCGCUCCCUGGAGCCCUCCAGCCCCUGAGGCCAGUUCUAACAGACCCCUAACACAAAGAACCUGUCACAAAUCAACAACAAAAUGUAAUUAUUCAAGCAAUUUCAAAAACCACUGGAGUAUUCAGAAUGUGACUGUGACCGGUUCAAAUGCACAGAGUCAGCAAUUAUUCCUGUGGUCAUAGUCACCUUGGAAUAAAAUAGCUAUUGAUGGA